rnacentral:tRNA from 1 species
GCGGGCGUGAUGGAACGGCAGACAUGCAGGAUUUAGGUUCCUGUGCCGCAAGGUGUGCGGGUUCAAAUCCCGCCGCCCGCACCA